ACUGAAAGAUAUUUGUCAAUACACCCAAGGUAAAAUAAACAGUAACUCUUCAGUGGAUUGGUCUCUUCCAAAAAUGAUUCCGCAGAAAAAGCAGAAAUUGUUUUAAAAUAAACUUUUAUUUUGAAAGCGCGCCGAAAUCUGCACUUCCGCCAUUAAAAGCACCCCUUUCGGAAGCGCGUUUCUAAUUAUAGUUAGCUAAAGCAAUUAUCUCUGCUUUUAUCAAGAAGACGUGGGUACGCGCUCCUGAGAGGGGGUGCUAAAUUCGGCAUUACACCGGCUUUACAAGCAAGUAUUUUAUACUGAAGUUCUCUGUCUUUCCAUUAACCGGUUAUGGAAAUCAUUCAAACAGAAAACAUGUGGAGCAGCUUUCUGCCUAGGACUACAGUUGCACAAGAAUCUCCCAUUUAAAACAUCAAACAGUCCUAUCAGAAAUUCAGAUGUUCCCCUGGUGAAAAAAUAUAUAUCCUUAAUUGUACUUAAAACAUAUUGAGAAAUGUAUAAGUAUGCUGUAAAUAUAUUAAUAGAUUUAUGUACUUACUAAAAAAAUAUAAAAAAU
rnacentral:lncRNA from 1 species